UGAGCAACCUACCCUCAACUUCGGGAUAAGCCUCGGAAACGGGGUCUAAUACCGGAUACCACUCCUUUCUUCAUGGUUUGGGGUUGAAAGUUCUGGCGGUUGGGGAUGGGCCCGCGGCCUAUCGGCUUGUUGGUGAGGUAACGGCCCACCAAGGCGACGACGGGUAGCCGGCCUGAGAGGGCGACCGGCCACACUGGGACUGAGACACGGCCCAGACUCCUACGGGAG
rnacentral:rRNA from 1 species